rnacentral:rRNA from 1 species
ACACGCCUACGGGACGCAGCAGUGGGGGAUAUUGCACAAUGGGGGAAACCCUGAUGCAGCGACGCCGCGUGAGCGAUGAAGUAUUUCGGUAUGUAAAGCUCUAUCAGCAGGGAAGAAAAUGACGGUACCUGACUAAGAAGCCCCGGCUAACUACGUGCCAGCAGCCGCGGUAAUACGUAGGGGGCAAGCGUUAUCCGGAUUUACUGGGUGUAAAGGGAGCGUAGACGGUAUGGCAAGUCUGAUGUGAAAACCCGGGGCUCAACCCCGGGACUGCAUUGGAAACUGUCGGACUAGAGGGUCGGAGG